GCCUACGGCCAUAUCAGCCUGGGUACGCCCGAUCUCAUCUGAUCUCGGAAGCUAAGCAGGGUCGGGCCUGGUUAGUACUUGGAUGGGAGACCGCCUGGGAAUACCAGGUGCUGUAAGCA
rnacentral:rRNA from 1 species